ACUAACGCUGGCGGCGUGCCUAACACAUGCAAGUCGAACGAUCUUUGAUUAUAGCAAUAUUAUUAAAGAGGAGUGGCGAACGGGUGAGUAACACGUAGAUAAUCUGCCUUUCAGACGGGGACAACUCAGGGAAACUUGUGCUAAUACCCGAUGAGACCACAAGAAGGGAUUUUUGUGGCCAAAGGCGGGCAGCAAUGCUCGUGCUGAAAGAUGAGUCUGCGUCCUAUCAGCUAGUUGGUGGGGUAAAUGCCUACCAAGGCUAAGACGGGUAGCCGGCCUGAGAGGGUGAACGGCCACACUGGGACUGAGACACGGCCCAGACUCCUACGGGAGGCAGCAGUGAGGAAUUUUCCGCAAUGGGCGCAAGCCUGACGGAGCGACGCCGCGUGAGGGAUGACAGCUUUCGGGUUGUAAACCUCUUUUAUUAAGGAAAAAGAUCUAUAUGCUAAUAUCAUGUAGAUUUGAUGGUACUUAUUGAAUAAGCCCCGGCUAACUACGUGCCAGCAGCCGC
rnacentral:rRNA from 1 species